UACAAGGGGGGCAAGCGUUAUUCGGAAUUAUUGGGCGUAAAGGGCGCGUAGGCGGCCCUGCAAGUCAAAGGUGAAAUCCCUCGGCUCAACUGAGGAACUGCCUUUGAAACUGCGGGGCUUGAGGCCGGGAGGGGGUAGCGGAAUUCCCAGUGUAGCGGUGAAAAGCGUAGAGAUCGGGAAGAACGCCGGCGGCGAAAGCGACUCUCUGGUCGGAAUCUGACGCUGAGGUGCGAAAGCUAGGGGAGCAAACGGG
rnacentral:rRNA from 1 species